UUCCGGUUGAUCCCGCCGGACCCGACCGCUAUCGGGGUGAGGCUAAGCCAUGCGAGUCUGCGCUCUCAGCCAUGAGAGAGCGCGGCGCACGGCUCAGUAACAUGUGGUUAACCUACCCUCAGGACGGGGAUACCCUCGGGAAACUGAGGCUAAUCCCAGAUAGAUGAGGGAUCCUGGAAUGGUUCCUCAUCGAAAAGGCACGCAUAUCAUGCUAUGCGUGUCGCCUGAGGAUGGGACCGCAUCCUAUCAGGUAGUUGGUGGGGUAACGGCCCACCAAGCCUAUAACGGGUACGGGCCCUGAGAGGGGGAGCCCGGAGAUGGGUACUGAGACAAGGACCCAGGCCCUACGGGGCGCAGCAGGCGCGAAACCUCCGCAAUGCGCGAAAGCGCGACGGGGCCACCCCGAGUGCCAUCCGCUGAGGGUGGCUUUUCCCUAGUGUAGUAAGCUAGGGGAAUAAGCGGGGGGCAAGUCUGGUGUCAGCCGCCGCGGUAAUACCAGCUCCGCGAGUGGUCGGGACGAUUAUUGGGCCUAAAGCGUCCGUAGCCGGCCUAACAAGUCUCUGGUUAAAUCUCAAGGCUUAACCUUGAGAUCGCUGGAGAUACUGUUAGGCUAGGGGGCGGGAGAGGUUGAGGGUACUUCGCGGGUAGGGGCGAAAUCCUAUAAUCCGCGAAGGACCACCAGUGGCGAAGGCGCUCAACUGGAACGCGCCCGACGGUGAGGGACGAAAGCUAGGGGAGCAAAGGGGAUUAGAUACCCCCGUAGUCCUAGCUGUAAACGAUGCGGGCUAGGUGUUGGGUUGGCUUCGUGCCAACCCAGUGCCGCAGCGAAGGCGAUAAGCCCGCCGCCUGGGAAGUACGGCCGCAAGGCUGAAACUUAAAGGAAUUGGCGGGGGAGCACCACAAGGGGUGAAGCCUGCGGUUUAAUUGGAGUCAACGCCGGGA
rnacentral:rRNA from 1 species